rnacentral:rRNA from 1 species
CUGGCGGCAUGCCUUACACAUGCAAGUCGAACGGCAGCACGGGAGCAAUCCUGGUGGCGAGUGGCGAACGGGUGAGUAAUAUAUCGGAACGUGCCCAGUCGUGGGGGAUAACGUAGCGAAAGCUACGCUAAUACCGCAUACGAUCUAUGGAUGAAANCGGGGGAUCGCAAGACCUCGCGCGAUUGGAGCGGCCGAUAUCAGAUUAGGUAGUUGGGUGAGGUAAAGGCUCACCAAGCCGACGAUCUGUAGCUGGUCUGAGAGGACGACCAGCCACACUGGGACUGAGACACGGCCCAGACUCCUACGGGAGGCAGCAGUGGGGAAUUUUGGACAAUGGGCGCAAGCCUGAUCCAGCAAUGCCGCGUGCAGGAUGAAGGCCUUCGGGUUGUAAACUGCUUUUGUACGGAACGAAACGGUGAGCUCUAAUACAGUUUGCUAAUGACGGUACCGUAAGAAUAAGCACCGGCUAACUACGUG